AGUUGGUGGAGUGAUUUGUCUGGUUAAUUCCGUUAACGAACGAGACCCCCGCCUGCUAAAUAGAGAGGCGAAUGAUUUUCAUUGGUUAUCUCUUCUUAGAGGGACUUCGCGUGACUAACGCGAGGAAGUUGGGGGCAAUAACAGG
rnacentral:rRNA from 1 species